rnacentral:lncRNA from 1 species
UCGAUUGUAAACAGUACAAAUAAAAAAAUCCUGAUGCAGCCUUAAGCACUCAAGCCAUUGCAUUUACCAAGUUUCAAGUGCUACAAAAAAUUCCCACAAAAAAUACAGUAAGAACUCACCAAAGAUCCAGCCCAAGAUUGGUAGCAAAUAGGCUCAGCAACAAGACUCUACGGUUGGCAAAACAAGAACUCUACGCUCGGCAAAUAGGCUCAGCAACAAGAUCCCCUCCAAGCACUCAACGAAAACAGUGACCAAGGCACUCAGAUCGGCAGCAACAAGGCUCUACGUUCGGUAAAUAGGCUCAGCAACAAGAUCCGGUCCAAGAACUCACCAAAAAAGUGAGUGCAUACACCUAUUCCCCAAAUAAAA